GUCUACGGCCGUGUCACCCUGAACAAGCCCGAUCCUGUCUGAUCUCGGAAGCUAAGCAGGGUCAGGCCUGGUUGGUACUUGGAUGGGAGACCACCUAGGAAGACCAGGUGCUGUAGGAG
rnacentral:rRNA from 1 species